rnacentral:rRNA from 1 species
UACGUAGGGUGCGAGCGUUGUCCGGAAUUAUUGGGCGUAAAGGGCUCGUAGGCGGUUUGUCGCGUCGGGAGUGAAAACCAUGAGCUUAACUCAUGGCUUGCUUUCGAUACGGGCAGACUAGAGGUAUGCAGGGGAGAACGGAAUUCCUGGUGUAGCGGUGAAAUGCGCAGAUAUCAGGAGGAACACCGGUGGCGAAGGCGGUUCUCUGGGCAUUACCUGACGCUGAGGAGCGAAAGCGUGGGGAGCAAACAGG